UACCAGCACCCCGAGUGGUCGGGACGAUUAUUGGGCCUAAAGCAUCCGUAGCCGGUCCUACAAGUCUUCCGUUAAAUCCACCUGCUCAACAGAUGGGCUGCGGAAGAUACUAUAGGGCUAGGAGGCGGGAGAGGCAAGCGGUACUCAGUGGGUAGGGGUAAAAUCCUCUGAUCCAUUGAAGACCACCAGUGGCGAAGGCGGCUUGCCAGAACGCGCUCGACGGUGAGGGAUGAAAGCUGGGGGAGCAAACCGGG
rnacentral:rRNA from 1 species